rnacentral:rRNA from 1 species
CCUACGGGGUGCAGCAGUGAGGAAUAUUGGUCAAUGGACGAGAGUCUGAACCAGCCAAGUAGCGUGAAGGAUGACUGCACUAUGGGUUGUAAACUUCUUUUAUAUGGGAAUAAAACAGGGUAUGCAUACCCUCUUGUAUGUACCAUAUGAAUAAGCAUCGGCUAACUCCGUGCCAGCAGCCGCGGUAAUACGGAGGAUACGAGCGUUAUCCGGAUUUAUUGGGUUUAAAGGGAGCGCAGGCGGAGUGUUAAGUCAGUUGUGAAAGUUUGCGGCUCAACCCUAAAAUUGCAGUUGAAACUGGCAGUCUGGAGUACAGUAGAGGUGGGCGGAAUUCGGGGUGUAGCGGUGAAAUGCUUAGAUAUCGCGAAGAACUCCGAUUGCGAAGGCAGCUCACUGGACUGCAACUGACACUGAUGCACGAAAGUGUGGGUAUCAAACAGGAUUAGAUACCCGAGUAGUC